AAAGUUUGAUUUCUUUGCUACCAACGCUUGGUGUUUCCUCGUGGUGUGGCCGUAGCCAUAGUCUGGUUGGGACAGCGGUGGCCUCUUUCAAUGAUUUACACGUAACUAUUCACCGCUUUGACUGGUUUGGUGUUUCAGUCUCUAGAAGCCGAACCCACCAGAAACCCCAUUCUCCCUCUUUCUUCUCAUGUUUCUUUCCAUGGUGUCACACACGGUCUCUCGAGUCUCCACCGACGAACUUCUCCGGCGAGCCAUCCUGCUCCACCCAUGAUGGAGAGUACUAGCGCCGGUGGGGAGCACCAAGGGAGCAGCGGCUCGGCCUUGUGGCGGCGGAUUCAGGUGGAGCAACCCGGGACGAGCCAAUGGCGAGGUGCAGCCGGUCUGGCCGCGUACGUCCACAUCGAGCUGCGUCCGCCGCAGGAGCAAAGGAGAGUACUACGCCGGAGGAGGGUAGCAGGGGAGGAGCGGCGCCGGUGUGGCAACGACGGAUUCGGGUGGAGCAGGCUAGGACGAGCUGCUGGCGAGGUGCAACAGUGUGGUCGCGGACGUCAGCGUCGACCUGUGGCCACCGCGGGAGCAGAGGGGAGUACUAGCGCCGGAGAAGAGCAGCAGUGGAGGAGCGACGCCAGCGAGGCGGCGGCAAUUUCAGGUGGAGCACGAUCUGCAUCGACAACUGAUGGAACUGCAAUGCCGCGAGGAUCGAGGAGUCGAAGGGCAACAUGGAGCGGCGGUCGUCGGGGUGGCUGGCGCAAAUUUUUCCUCGCCCAAGCUCUCCCCUGGUCGAUCUCCUCAGCUUCUGGUGGCCGUAACGUGGGUCAGUUCCUGCUCUGGUGUCGCGGUCGUCACCGAUGUGCUCGGGCAUUGCCACAAACUUUCCCCACGCCCAGAUGAUGGAGAUCGAUACAUGGAACAAUUUGCAGUCGAUUACAAUACUCUAGCUAGCAGACAUUAUGAAACAUCAACCAUAUCAUGUCCACCAGAAAAAGUUCAGAUUAUCAUUCCAUUUAGUUCUACCGGAGAAUAACAAGGUCAUUCGUCUAGACCAUCACCUUCAUCUUUCUCCGCCAUAGAUCAAGGUAACAUAACUAUGCACUUAGAUAAUGUUAUUUAUCUUUUCUACAUACAUACAUCAGUACUGUAGCUAUCAGACAUUAUUAACCAUAUCAGUCCACCAGGAGUUCACAUUAUCUUUCCAUUUAGUUUUAACCAAGAUCAACACCAUUGUCCGUCUAGAUCAUCACCACCAUCACUCUCACCCUAGAUCAAGGUAAUAGAUGGUUGGGUCAUAAUAUAUACGUCUUUUUCUACUAUGAUGUUCUUGGAGAUACAGUCCGAGGUCCCAAGAUGCAAACUAGCCACUUUCUUGGAAACCUGGUCAAAUGAUACAUUAACAUGCCUUGCCGAUAACAAGUAUUUUUUUACUGGAGGUUGUGAGAAAAACAAUGGUAUGCACUAAUACUUAAUAACUCACCGUAGAGAUGAGAGAUCUUUGUAAGGUUCAUCAUGUCAGUCUGGUGUGCCAUUUUACAGUUCUCACAGGAUACCUAAUCUAGAUUAUAUCUCAAAACUCCUGUUGUUUCUUAUUUAAUUGGUGACCAAUGUUUUGUUAAAUGUGCAGUUGAUUGACUAUGAAGGAUGGAUGAGUUGUUCCCAUUUUAUCUGUUUUUUUUCUUAUUUAAUUGGUGACCCAUGUUUUGUUGAAGUUGUAGUUGAUUGGCUAUGUAGGAAGGAUGAGUUGUUCCAGUUUUAUGGGUACUCUGAAAAGGUUCAUUUGAAAACCUUCUUCAUGAUCCUCAAAGCAACGGUGAUCUAUGGCCAAGAAUCCUCUCCUUUGUAUCAGAGCCUGGUGUAACUAGGAACUGACCAAAACAUUGAUUGUUGCAUAAAGAGCUACCUCAUGUGUGACACGAAUUAACUCUCUCUUCACCUUGGUGACCUUCAGCCUAGACAUCGACUGCAUAAUCACUCUCAAAAUUAAAUGGACGAUGGCACCAGGAGCAGUAAGGUCGAUGCCCUCUUUGAGAGCAUUCAGGCAAUUCACAAAGGUGCAGCCAGCUGAGAAGAUCAUGCUGCAGUCAAUUUCUUGCCACUACACCGAGGCUGGCUUCCCCAGUUGCUUCAGAAAACUAGGUUGUCUCUAAUGCUGGACAUAUAUUUGUAUGUAUGCCUACAAUUUUAGUGUGCUUCUCUGACCCUAGGUGGCUGUAGGAAGUGUCUUCAAUUCCGAACCAUUUUUAGAUGCAUUUUGAUUGUUCAUGUGCUAUGGAUAACCCAUGAUUUAAUCAUACAUCUGUCUCAAAACUAUAUUAGCUAUGAGUAUGGAGCCGAAGUUAUAAACAGAUGGAAAUAUAUAGAAAAUCAUUUCAGAAAUUUCUGAAAUGACCUACUCAUCGUAUACAACUGCAACUGGGCAUGUGCAAGUAAUAUGAACGCAGUAGUUAUUUUAGGAAAAAAAUCUAAUUUUAAAGAAACAGGACUAUCAUGUUUUCAAGACCCGAAGAGCAUGCAUGUUUCAUGUUUGCCAGGCCUAAUAUAUUUAGGUGUAAUUAAUUCAUGAAAAUUAAACUAUCCAUGUGUUUUUUUAGCCGGCCAAAUGCAUGCUUAAUAUUAUACAUGAUAUGUUCAUGGUUUUAAGGCGUCGCCUAAACGACGCCUAAGCGUCCAAGCGCUCCCCCUCAGCCUUAGAAAAACGCUCGCCUUAGGCACCUAGGCGUCGCCUAAGCAUCGGAGCGCCCCCCCUCGCCUUAGGAUACCUUGGCGCCUUCAAAACCAUGGAUAUGUUCAUGCAAAGUUUGAAUAUAUAAAGAUGAUAUUUAUGCUCUGUCUUUGGGAGGUGAACUAAACAUAAUCUUCCUGCUCCUUUUUUGCUCGCUUGAAUAUUUGUAGCCAUGAAUGAUUUCUACAGAUCAGAUGAUCCAUUAAAUAAAUUUCACUUACCUAUAUAAAAUCAACUUUAAUAUAGAAAGUGUAUGCAUGCAAUGUUGGAACAUUUCCUAUUGUAAUUGCUAUUUCACAUAAAACUGACAUUUUGAUCAUAAGAUUUGCGUCAGCUCAGUUCAAUGCAUACUGAGCAAUCCUAUACUUUUGAUUGCAUUUUACUUGAUAAUCUGCAUUCACAAUGAGAUCACCAAAAUAUAGACAUUACCAUGUGUUCUAGGAUUUAUCUUCCUUUCCCAGAUAUUGAUCCUUUAGGUGUUUUAUUGUUAUUUUAUACUGGACAUAAUCCCUUCAAAAGUCAUUCGCAUUGAUGCAACAUAUGCAUAGUUAGGGGCCAUUGAUACCAUGGAAGAAAGACAUGUCAAUCUUUUAGUAUGAUUAUAUUUAGCAUUUCCCUGCCCUACAAGCAACUCUGAUGUGAAGAAUUAUUAAUUUAGUAUCAGUUGUUGGCCUCACUAGCAAUACUUCAACACUGAAGAUGGCAGUUAGAAUGCUGCCAAUGCUUGAAUUAUUGGCUUCACAAAAAAAUGUUAGGAAAUAUGGCAGUACAAAUCAGUAGGAGAUAUCUUUAUUAUUGUUAUAUCACAUAAAACUUAAUAUUGUACCCUUACUUCUGAACUAUUUUGCCGCACUUCAGGUUUGGCCGUUCCUAACACCCCUUGGUUGUGUAGAGUCAGUUAGGGUCAUAGAGAGGCCAACAUGAGAUCUUCUCAGCUUUAUGGAGGUGGCCAACAUAGGGGGCAUCAUCGAGCAGGCUAGCGGCCACAACCGACCACAACCAAUGCUCAAAAGCUCCAUCCAGGGAUGCUCAACAUCCUCCAACAGAAUAACAAAUCCAUAACUCCAACAACGACUAAAGAAGAAGAUCAAUACAGUGAUGGUCCUUCCACGAUGAAGCAGACUUCACACCUCCAUUUCUUUAGUAAAGGCCUACAACUCAUCAUACUUUCCUCCAUCAAUGAGGACACUGACGCCAAGCACUCAUGCCUCGAGGACCAAACAACAACACUACCAUUCAUACCAUCCUACUAUGCUAUUUCAUCCAGGCAUGUAUUGCCAAAAACAUGUUGUGCUUUAGGUGAAGUAGGAUCUGAUGUCUUCUACAUAUACCAUAUGUAAGACGAUGUGAUUAACUAUGUAGUCAGAUCUAAUUAUGUAUUAGUGAAUGCACUACUUAUCCAAGGGAUCCCAUGAACUAUGUAAUUAAGUCUAAUUAUAUAUCACCGCUA